AGAAGAACCUUCAUUUGUCCCUUC
rnacentral:siRNA from 1 species